GCCUGAUCCAGCAAUGCCGCGUGCAGGAAGAAGGCCUUCGGGUUGUAAACUGCUUUUGUCAGGGAAGAAAUCUUCUGGGCUAAUACCCCGGGAGGAUGACGGUACCUGAAGAAUAAGCACCGGCUAACUACGUGCCAGCAGCCGCGGUAAUACGUAGGGUGCGAGCGUUAAUCGGAAUUACUGGGCGUAAAGCGUGCGCAGGCGGCUUUGCAAGACAGAGGUGAAAUCCCCGGGCUCAACCUGGGAACUGCCUUUGUGACUGCAAGGCUAGAGUACGGCAGAGGGGGAUGGAAUUCCGCGUGUAGCAGUGAAAUGCGUAGAUAUGCGGAGGAACACCGAUGGCGAAGGCAAUCCCCUGGGCCUGUACUGACGCUCAUGCACGAAAGCGUGGGGAGCAAACAGGAUUAGAUACCCUGGUAGUCCACGCCCUAAACGAUGUCAACUGGUUGUUGGACGGCUUGCUGUUCAGUAACGAAGCUAACGCGUGAAGUUGACCGCCUGGGGGAGUACGGGCGCAAGGGUUGAAACUCAAAGGAAUUGACGGGGGACCCGCACAAGCGGUGGAUGAUGUGGUUUAAUUCGAUGCAC
rnacentral:rRNA from 1 species